rnacentral:rRNA from 1 species
GACGAACGCUGGCGGCGUGCUUAACACAUGCAAGUCGAACGGAAAGGCCCUGCUUUUGUGGGGUGCUCGAGUGGCGAACGGGUGAGUAACACGUGAGUAACCUGCCCUUGACUUUGGGAUAGCUUCAGGAAACUGGGGCUAAUACCGGAUAGGAGCUCCUGCUGCAUGGUGGGGGUUGGAAAGUUUCGGCGGUUGGGGAUGGACUCGCGGCUUAUCAGCUUGUUGGUGGGGUAGUGGCUUACCAAGGCUUUGACGGGUAGCCGGCCUGAGAGGGUGAACGGCCACAUUGGGACUGAGAUACGGACCAGACUCCUACGGGAGGCAGCGGUGGGGAAUAUUGCACAAUGGGCGGAAGCCUGAUGCAGCAACGCCGCGUGCGGGAUGACGGCCUUCGGGUUGUAAACCGCUUUAGCCUGUGACGAAGCGUGAGUGACGGUAAUGGGUAAAGAAGCACCGGCUAACUACGUG